rnacentral:rRNA from 1 species
GCACCUGCGGUAAUUCCAGCUCCAAUAGCGUAUAUUAAAGUUGUUGCAGUUAAAAAGCUCGUAGUUGGAUUUCUGCGAGGGUGCCAAUGUCCGCCGACGCGCGUGCGCAGCGGCGCCCUCGCAUCCUUCUGUUACCACCUCUCGGCAUUCACUUGCCGGUGGUCGGCUCAGAGAAUUUACCUUGAGAAAAUUAGAGUGUUUCAGGCAGGCUAGGCCGGAAUACAUUAGCAUGGAAUAAUGGAAUAGGACUACGGUCUCGUUGUUGGUUUGAGGGACUGCAGUAAUGAUUAAUAGGGAUAGUUGGGGGCAUUAGUAUUUAAUUGUCAGAGGUGAAAUUCUCAGAUUUGUUAAAGACUAACUUAUGCGAAAGCAUUUGCCAAGGAUGUUUUCAUCAAUCAAGAACGAAAGU